rnacentral:misc_RNA from 1 species
GGAAAUGGCGGGAGUGGGCGUUGAUGAUGUGUUUUGAUUCGGUUAAGACUGUGCAGAGGCUUAGAGAAGAGGGUGGUGGCGUUGCCAUGGAAAAUCUGGCGAAGAUGGGUAGAGAGAAUACAGAAGAAUGUGAUUGAUUGAAAUAGUAAAGCGAACGAAGAAGACGACUACGAAUAUUGUUUGUUAGUUUAAUGGGUUGAUGGCGUAAGAAGAUAAGGACCAAAG